rnacentral:tRNA from 1 species
UAGCCUACUGGUUAAGGCUAUGGAUCGCCAAUCCGGAGACGGCGGGUUCAAUUCCCGU